rnacentral:piRNA from 1 species
UAACAGUCAACAAGAGUGUGCUCUAUUCCUCU